GGGGUUGUGGCUCAGUGGUAGAGCGCUUGCCUAGCAUGUGUGAGGCUCUGGGUUCAAUCCUUAGCACCACCU
rnacentral:tRNA from 1 species